rnacentral:rRNA from 1 species
UACGAAGGGGGCUAGCGUUGCUCGGAAUCACUGGGCGUAAAGGGUGCGUAGGCGGGUUUUUAAGUCAGAGGUGAAAUCCUGGAGCUCAACUCCAGAACUGCCUUUGAUACUGAAAGUCUUGAGUAUGGGAGAGGUGAGUGGAACUGCGAGUGUAGAGGUGAAAAUUCGUAGAUAUUCGCAAGAACACCAGUGGCGAAGGCGGACUCACUGGCCCAUAACUGACGCUGAGGCACGAA